rnacentral:lncRNA from 1 species
CCAGAACUUGGGUUUUGUUAGGUAAGCCAGGACCAGAAGCGUUUGAGGAAUCGUAGUGCCGCCCAUGCCGCCCCAGGAGAUGGGUUUGUCGGGGCAGUGUGCGUGUGCCGGCAUCCCUAUCCGGCGGAGGGAGGGAGGGAAGGAGGCCCGGGGCCCGGCGCCGUCGGUCUCCCAGCCGUACCCGCCACUCCACCUCCAGCCCCGCGGAGCCCUCCCCCUACCGCAGUCCAGGCCUCGGCCGAAAGCAACUGGGCCCGCCGUUUCUGUCACUGCGGUAUUUGCCCAUCUACGUUUUGCGUCCGGCGUUCGUUCUCUGAAUCAACAGGCGGGUGGAAGAAAUGCCUUCUGAUUCCAACCCGAGUGUCUGUUUGGAUCGUCAUUCCCUGCAUCAUCAGACGGGGAACUUCCGGGGACCGGCCCGUCUUGGCCAUCUGUGGGGCGCCCAACAAGGGCAAGCGACCGGCGAAUAAAAGGAAAGAUGAAGAGGAAGCCCCGAGGUGCCUGAGAGUCAAUGGUGAAGCCCAUGGUUUCUAACCCUUUAAUGAUCAGAGCAGGUGGAGCUCCGAAUCUCUUAAGUUCGGAUAGUAAAUCGUCUUGCGGAUAGCAUAUAUUUCAGACGGCCACAUGAAAGGGCUCACAUCAAUUACUGGAAUGUGAUUUUGGAGUUGACAAAUGUACCAGAGUGAUUUGGAAUGACUCUACUGUUUCAACAGCUUUAUCGAAAGGCUGGAGCCGAUGGAUAGCAAUCAAAAUAUUCUCUUUCCUUUUCUCUCUCUCCCUCCCUCCCCCCUCCCCACCCCGCCCCGGUCUCCCGUUCUCGUUCUGACUCUUGCUCUGUCACUCUCUUUUUCUCUCUCUGGCUUUAUCCUCUCUCUUGGAUAAAAUUACUUACUGCAAUGAGUUUUUUCAACAAUACGUGAGUUCCUGGUGGUCAGAAUACCUGGACCCUUCUCUAUUGUUCUUGGCUUUCCAGGACUCAGCCAAAACAGAGGCUUAAAGUCCCCCAACUUAACAUUCUCCCAGUGUAGCCUGGGAAAUCAACGGAAGAAAUGCUGCUCGCUGGAGUUCCUUCUUGAGAGUUGCAUGUACACAGUCCUAGUAAAGGCUCUGAGAAGUCCUUCAGACAAAAAGUUAUUAAAUUCUAUUUAACCCAGUGUUUCCCAGAUUAUUUGACCACAGAAUUCUUUCCUCAAAAUAUUUCUCUAUUGGUUAACCCAGGUCUGCUGAAGCAAAAGAGAGUGUAGGCUAGGGAUACUGGGAAUUCUCCUGGAAGCUGAGGCAGAAUGUGUCUGGCUCUCAGGAUGGAUGGACCAGGAAACUAACUGCCAGAACUGCGCUCCUCAUCCUUGUGGCCCUCCCUGCUGACCUGCCUGUCUGGUUGAAGUGCAGAACACAGCACUUUCCCCCCAACAUCCAGAGAUGGAGGACACAGGUCUCACCAAUCCAGAGAGACUGCCUUGACCCUUAUCCUGUCCCAAUUCCAAACCCCUUGGAGACAGGAUCCUGCUGAAUCUGUCAUCCCCUUCAUCCUUCACACACAGCAAGUCCACACCUCAACCUGGGCUAGUUUGGGAGGGGGUGUGGAAGGUAGUGAGUUUGUGGGGGGAUUACUAGAGAAAGGAAGGUUGUUGGUUUGUGAACUGGAUGGACACCCACUGAGACAGAUGCCCAGCCUGAGACGACCUGUGGGACAUUGCCAUCCCCAGCUGCAUCGCCUUUCUUUCCUUGAACACAUCAAGCUCAUUUAUGCUGCAAGGCUUUUGUACUUGCUGUUCUCUCUACCUGGAAUGUUCCUCUUCUAAAACUUCUCCAAAGUACGUUAGGGUGAUGGGAUUAUGAUUUCACCCCCCUCCUUUUUAAAGUUAUUUUAUUUUUUAUUUUAUUUUAUUUAUUUUUUGAGAUGGAGUCUCACUCUGUUGCCCCAUCUGGAGUGCAGUAAGGCAAUCUCAGCUCACCGCAACCUCGGCCUCCCAGAUUCAAGCGAUUCUCCUGCCUUAGCCUCCUGAGUAGCUAGGAUUAUAGACACUUGCCACCAUGUCCAGAUAAUUUUUGUAUUUUUGGUAAAGAUGGAGUUUUGCCAUGUUGGCCAGGCUGGUCUCGAACCCCUGACCUCAAUCCACCCACCUCAGCCGCCCAAAGUGCUGAGAUUACAGGCGUGAGCCACUGUGCCUGCCCCCCCCCACUUUUAAAACCUUAUUUGUCAUUAAAUUACUCUCACAAAUUAAAUAUAUGAGAACAUUGAGAAUAUGGCAUUGAAAACUCUAUACCCUACCUGGGAUGGAAUCUGUGCCUAGAACACUGGAGACUUUAUUUCCCUUGACCUGGACAUCUAGUUACUACUACCAGCAAAAAAAUAUUUUAUAGAUGGUUUGAUCACAGCAAAACCUGGGGAGAAUAAUGCCUUCCACAGCCUUUGCCUGAACACAUUUGAGAGUGUAUCCUAUUACAUACCAACUAUUGAAAGAACAGUAGCUCAAAUAAAUAUUCGUUGGUCACUAGUGUGGACUGAAUUGUGUCUAUGUUGAAGUCCUAACCCUUGGUACCUAUGAAUGUAAUCUUAUUUCAAAUAGAGUCUCUGCAGAUGUAACCAAGUUAAGGUGAGAUCAUACUCAAUUAGGGUGGGCCCUAAGUCCAAUGACUGGUGUCCUUAUAAGAAAAGAGAGAUUCAGAGAUAGCGACACAGAGGAGACACAGGAAGGGAAGGCCAUGUGAAGACACACGUAGAAACCAGAGUGGUACAACUACAGGGGAGGAAUGUCAAGGAUUCCUGGCACCCACCAGGAGCUGGAAAGAAGCAAGGAAGGAUUUUUCCCUAGCGCCUUGGGAGAGAGCUCAGCCCUGCUGGCCUCCAGAACUGUGGGAGAAUACAUUCCUGUUGUUUUAAGCCAUCCAGUUUGCGGCACUUCGUUACUGCAGCCCUAGGAAAUGAAUACAGCCUUCUACUGAGUGCCAGGCACUGUUCCAGGCAUAAGAGAUUCAGGGUGAACAGAACCGACAGGCUCACUGCUCUCAUGCAGCUGACAUUCUAGUGUAGAAAGACAGACACCAAAAUUUAAACAAAGUACAAGAAAACAGCAGGUAAGGAAAAGUGCUCUGCAGAUAGUGCAGUGAGUAGGCUGAGAGAGAGUGACUGGCAUGGUGGGCAGGGCUGUUUUAGCCAGAUUGAUUUGGAAAGUUAGGUUGAGACCUAAAUUAAAAAGAAGACUGAAAAUGUACAUACAAUUUUAUUAUUAUUAUUUGAGAUGGAGUCUCA